rnacentral:rRNA from 1 species
UACGUAGGGUGCAAGCGUUGUCCGGAAUUAUUGGGCGUAAAGAGCUCGUAGGCGGUCUGUCGCGUCUGCUGUGAAAACUCGGGGCUUAACCCCGGGCCUGCAGUGGGUACGGGCAGACUAGAGUGCGGUAGGGGAGACUGGAAUUCCUGGUGUAGCGGUGGAAUACGCAGAUAUCAGGAGGAACACCGGUGGCGAAGGCGGGUCUCUGGGCCGAUACUGACACUGAGGAGCGAAAGCGUGGGGAGCGAACAGG